UUAGCCGAUAGCCAACCUAAAAUAGCCGGGAUUAAGUCCACUUUAACUCCUAACCUAACGUAACAAGACAAAUCCUUUCCCACCACAGGGACUGGUAACAAUUACUGCACUCCGUCCGUUGAAUGGAACUACACAGAAACUUAAGGAUGCCAGUGGAGGACCUGCCCGGCAAAGAUUUACUGGCUACACAACUAGAAACUACCUAAACCAGCAUAAACGUUACAUGGUCAAUUCAUCCCUCAAGGCUAUUCUUCCUGUCUUCUCUUCGGCCAGAGUCUUCCAAAUUGUUGUCAUGUGAAAAUGAUGUGAUAUGGAUUUGACGGGGCAACAAAAAGGAAAAGAAAAAGAGAGCUGUGAGAAGGCGAGAGAAGUGGGGUGAGAAAUGUAAGAAGGCAGCGACUAAGAGAGGAUAAAAGAAACAGAAAGACAGCAGGAGAGAAAGAAGAGGAAGGACACCUGAUGCUAUAGGGUACAUGCAGUCCACGAUCUCUUGGAUCUGCGACAGCUCCAGGUUCUUCAUGAAGUCAUUGUCCAAGAUUGCCUCCUUGAUCAGAUCCUUGGACCUGGAGACGAGCGGAAGACCGUCCUCCCCGAGUGCGUCAGGCUGCGACCCGGAGAGAGCGCAUGGCGAGAAGGGCGCCUACAGGAAUCUGUGGCACAGUGCAGUCUGCAGCCGCGCUCGGCUCACAUGAAUAAUGGACUCGGCGAGAAAGCCACUGCUCGGAGAACCAUGUCAUCGUAUCUCAUCAACUCGCCCUGAGGCUGCUGAGUUAAAAAUAAAUGAGCACUGGAGCCUUAAUGGAACUUGAAGGUGAUGGAAACCUGAUGAACCUCAAUGUAAAAGAUAAACAACGCGUUUUUCAUCUAUUGGAGAAGGAGGCGCUGCUGCUUGUAUCUGUUGGACUACUUUUUGUAUUUUAUCUACGUGGAAAGAAAUGCAUAUAUUUGAAAAUGAAAACUAUUAGUGCGGACUUCUGUGAUAAAUUUGAGCCCAAAUAGUGCUUUAGAAAGCAAAUUAUUUAUGUUUUAAGAGGAAAAGAACAGUUCCACUUUUCCCAAAUCCCUGUCUAGCAACUAUUAAUUAAACUAUUAAUUAAUUUAAGUGGAGCAAGUAAAGGUGCUAAAAGCAAAACAUGAUAAUCUUACAGAUUGCCAAACAGCUGCAGCAGCAGACAUGAGAAUGCCAAAGCUACUGAGGCUCACGACACUCCGCAGCAGCUCCACAUUCCUCAUCUAAUCUUGAAUUGUGUGUGGACUCUGAGCUGCUGGUGUCUGUUCACAUUAUCCCAAUGAGUCAUCUGAAGCUCAGCGAGCAGCAUUUGGCCUCAUGCGCUCUGGACACAUUCAGAGGAGGAUAAACUGCCAAGGACAAUCUGAUAGGAUGAGCAGUCAUUGAGGCUACAGCAGCAAUUACUGCGCUGAGAGGAUGGGGAGGGAGGCGCAGGCUGACAGCGAGGAUACAAAGCUGGUUGAACGAGAUUACUUUGGCUGUAAGGAUAGGUCUUUUUGGCUUGGUGGUAAAAAGCAUAUUUUUCUGACUGAAAGCGUGGAAACAAUCCCGGACAGCUACAGCCCUUCAAAUGAAAGAGCACGGCUGCCCUCUUGUGGUGGCUAAAAGCAUCAACUGAGCAAACACCAAAAAGGUGCCAUGCCUCUGCUCAACAGGCAAAAACGUCCAAGCACUAAUGAUCCUACAGUGUGUUUCAUUGCAUCAGUGGAUGACUGAGCAACAUGCUCUGUGGUAGUGAACCAUCAGGUCUAUUACAAAUACUGACAUGUGCAGUAGUCCUAUGUGCAGAGUGAAAACAAGUGCACAUCAGCAGCUUAGCAAACAAUGCUAAACCAGUUUUUAGAUGUCACAGAGACAAACAAAUGUGUACAUUUCAACUUUAAAUGAGAUAAAGCAACUGUGAAGACCACCUGUAAGCAAUGCAGUUAACUGCGUGAUUAAGCUCUUAAAAUAAAUGUUCCCCCCAAAAGAUUUGUUUUGUAGACAAACACCCAAACCUCUACUGAAGCCCAGCUUUUCUCCUCUGAGCUAAUAAAAAAAACUCAUAUUUUCUUUUAUCUCUGUCAAGGGAAGGGCGCAGGGCUCAAAGCUUGAGCAGCAGCAAAGUUUCCUUCAUAUCAGGAAACUGCAGGUGCCUGGAGAUUUUCAGACUCUGCAAUCCAGUGUUUGCAUCCCCACAUCCUCCCAUCAUCAAAAGGCCCUCCCACUGUCCUUCAAAGCACCUCUGCGCUUUAAAUUUCACCUCUCUAACCAUCCAGCCCAGCCCUUUUCCUAUGCAGAUCAAUAGAAACAGGAUCCGUUGCUCCAUGCUGCGGUAAUCCGAUGAGCAGGGCAGGCCGCCGGCUGGUGCCACGUCCUGACUCUAAUGGGGGUCACACCGUCUCAGACCCCGCGGAGGCCCAGCAGGCGCGACGGCGCAGGUGAACGCCCUUUCUCCAGGCACCGAGAGCAAUCAGGUCUUCUCACCAGCUUUUUUGCAAAUGCAAACAGGUUUACUUCCGUUUCACUGCACAGUGUGUUUGGCCGCAUGCAAUUGCUCCACUGGGCCCACAUAUUGUGCCUCAUCAGCUGACGCAUAAUUUGACUAUUUCCAGAAUAAACCCUGGUUCAACAGAAAGGUUGACAAAAGAUGAUUGGUACACCUAAUUGUUUUUGUCUGGAGUGUAGCUUGUCAGUAGGGUUCCAAUUGUAUUAGAUUUUCACAAUACAACAACUGUCUCAUAAAAUAUCACAGUAUAUGGCAUGACAUUGUUAUUAGUAGUAUUAGUAUUAGUAUUAGUAAUAGGCUUAUUAGUAUCAUUAUUAUCAGUUACAAUGACCCUUAAAGGAAUGAGAACAGAAGUUUUUUGUUAUAUUUCUGUCUCAGAAAAACCUCCUCUUAAAAAUAAAUAAAAAGAUGUGCACACGUUAGUGAGAUUCCCUGUCUGGUUGCAUAUAUUUCCCAAAACAGACAAGCAAAUGCAUGGAUAACUGUCAAUUUUCAUGACAUGGUAUACCGCUGCAACCCUACUUGUUAGUCAUUAUUUCUCAAUGAACCUGGGUCAUUCAUGACUUUCAAACCUCAUUCUCAAAUAUCUGUAUCUCUUGCCUUUUUUGUGUUUGUUUGAAGGCACACUGAUGAGUCAAUGAGUGCAAACGAUAGGCCCCGCCUGCAGUUUAUUAAUGCAAAUGAUGACUGGCAAUUGUCUAGCAUC